rnacentral:rRNA from 1 species
GAGCCUGAUGCAGCCAUGCCGCGUGUAUGAAGAAGGCCUUCGGGUUGUAAAGUACUUUCAGUUGUGAGGAAGGGGGUGUUGUUAAUAGCAACAUCUCUUGACGUUAGCAACAGAAGAAGCACCGGCUAACUCCGUGCCAGCAGCCGCGGUAAU